rnacentral:rRNA from 1 species
ACGAACGCUGGCGGCGUGCUUAACACAUGCAAGUCGAACGGAAAGGCCUGCUUUCCCUUGUGGAUUGCGGGUACUCGAGUGGCGAACGGGUGAGUAACACGUGAGUGAUCUGCCCCCAACUUGGGUAUAAGCCUGGGAAACUGGGUCUAAUUCCCGAUAGGACUGCAGGGUGGUGCCUGUGGUGGAAAACGAUUUUCUAGUGGUUGGGGAUGAGCUCGCGGCCUAUCAGCUUGUUGGUGGGGUAAUGGCCUACCAAGGCGGCGACGGGUAGCCGGCCUGAGAGGGUGGACGGCCACAUUGGGACUGAGAUACGGCCCAGACUCCUACGGGAGGCAGCAGUGGGGAAUAUUGCACAAUGGGCGGAAGCCUGAUGCAGCGACGCCGCGUGGGGGAUGACGGCCUUCGGGUUGUAAACUCCUUUCGACCGCGAGGAAGCCACCUGGUUGGAAGGGUGGUGACGGUAGUGGUAGAAGAGGCACCGGCUAACUACGU